CUUCCGGACGCGGGCUCGCGCCUCCCGGGCGCACCUCGGGGCCCGCGGGCCGAGUGUCGCUAGGACGUUUUCCGCAGGCCUAGCAGGCGGACCCCGCGGCUCGGAGCAAGCGGUGCAGGUAAGCGGGCCCGGGCACCGCUCGGCAUCUCAGGGCCCCUGCGGCCCUCCCGGCUCGGCACGGCGGGUCCCGCGGUCUCCGCGAGAAGCACCUCCUUCGACGGCCAAGGGCCCCGGCGGCGACUGGAGAGAGGGCUCUGCAAGGGCUCCGCAGCCUGCUCCGGGACAAAGAAAAGAGCUUUUGUUUCUCUCCAGCCGGUGGGGCUUCUGCUGCAUAAAUCAGCUUAGCGAAGAGCCAAACACAAUCAAACCCAAACAAAGCCCGAAGCUGGGGGGGAAACCACCCUAAUGUACAUUCACUGGGUGAUGCUGGAUCUGUGGGAGGGGACGCCGGCGAGGUCGAGGGGAAAAAAGUCUGUGGCGCAUCAAUCAGCGCAGUUGCUUCCACAGGGGCAGGAGCGAUUCCCAUUCGAGGAGUUUGACCUCUCAUUUUAAUACAACACCCGCCUCUUAGAGGCAGCAGACCAGUCCAGCCAGGUCAAGGUGUGGACCGCACAACGGGGUGCACAGGAUUAGUUAAGCAAAGCAGGAACCCAGCUGGAAAAUUAAACGAGCCCUGGAUCUGCAAAGCAGGUCCCUUCGCGAGACCAAAGCCGUGAUCCCAACCUUAGCAACAUAAUUCUACUGGAGGUGUUGAUAUAUAUACUAAUCCAGAACAACCAUGUAGCAAGAGGAAUAAAAUGAAGUUCAGAAGUCUGUUUCGGGAAAUUUUGAAGCCCUUUAGAAAGAAAGAUUUCUACAUUUUGUUACAUGAAAUUCAUGCAAAUAUAUGUCAGGUGCCAGUGCUAUGGAGUUGUUGAAGAAUAAGCACAAUACCAUUUAUUACCACUUCUCAGUUGUAAAGAGGCUGUAACUCUGGUUGUCGAAAUAAAAUAAAAUGAAAUCUCCUAGAUGUGACACUGUGACCCCUGCCAGUUAUUUACAAACAAGUUAUCUGCACAUUUUGGGCUGUAAACAUAAAAGUAAACUCUCUGAAAGACUGCAAAUCAUCUUUAGGGUUUUCUUAAAGUAAAUACAACUAGUGGCCCAGGAACCAAAAGUUUGCUUGUUUCCAGUUAAUGUCACUGGUCACCAUAACUCACCCUUUUUCCUAUGAGGAAAUGUACAGCAUAUUUUAAAGAAAUGCAGUAUUGUUAUCUUCGUCAUAUUACCUGAAGAAUUCUAAUAAAGGAAAAAUGUUUCGGAAGA
rnacentral:lncRNA from 1 species